GCUUCCAUUUCAGGUUCCUCCUCUUCAAUUGCUGUUUUUUCAACUUUCUCUUCAACAACUAGCUCUUCAGAUGUAUCUUCAACCGUUGGUUCUUCAGGUUUCUCUUCAAGUGCUAGUUCUUCAGGUGUUUCUAUUGCUGCCGGUUCUUGAGGUUUCUCUUCAGUCUCUGGUUCUUGAGGUUUCUCCUCAGCUGGUACUUCAGAUUUCUCCUCAAAUGUUGGUUUCUCCUCAACUGCUGGUACAUCAGGUUUCUCUUCAAUGACUAGUUCUUCAUUUUUUAUUUCAACUGCCGGUUCUUCAGAAUUUUCCUCAAUGUCUGGAGAGUGAGCAACAUCAUUAUUGGUAUUGCAUGGAAUUUCACUGCCAGUUUUGGUGUUCGAGUCUACAAUUAGCAUAUUCUGCAAAAAGACUUUAAUGUUUCACUUAGCCUUUCAAAAGAAGAGCAUGUGAAUCACUGUACAUGCAUAACUAACAAAAUGGAUAUACUUUGUGAUAGUACUUGACCCUUACCUUUUCCAAAAGAGUUACCUUUUCAGGUUUCUCCUCUUUCAUUGCUGGCUCUUUAUGUAUCUCUUCUAAUGCUAGUUCCUUGGGUGUUUCUUCAGUUACUUGUUUAUCAGGUUUCUCCUCAAUUUUUGGUUCUUUGAUCGUCUCCUCAACUGAUGGUUCUUCAAGCUUUUCUCCCACUGUUGGUGUUUCAGGUUUCUCUUCGAUUGUCGGUUGUUCAGGUAUUUUCUCAACCGGUGGUUCUUCUGGUUUCUCCAAAACCCUUGAUUCUUCAGAUUUCUCUUCAAUAGCUGAUUCUUCAGAUAUCUCUUCAACUUCUGGUUCUUCAGUAUUUUCCUCAACUGAUGCAUAGUCAGCAAUGUCAUUGUUGGUAUUGCAUGGAAUUGCAUUGUCUGUUGUGUUCUUUGAGUUUACAAUUGGCAAAUUCUGCAAGAAAAUUUGAAGUUCCAUUUAGUCUUUCAAUAGAUGAAACAUAUUUAAAUUCAUUGCACUUAUAAAGUUAAUAUGCUGAAUAAACUUUGUGACAGUGUUAAUUGUCACCUUCUCCUGAAGAGCUUCCGUUUCAGGUUCCUCCUCUUCAAUUGCUGGUUUUUCAUCUUUCUCUUCAACAACUAGCCCUUCAGAUGUAUCUUCAACUGUUAGUUCUUCAGGUUUCCCUUCAAGUGCUAGUUCUUCAGCUGUUUCUAUAGCUGCUGGUUUUUCAGGUUUCUCUUCAGUUGCCGGUUCUUGAGGUUUCUCCUCAGCUGGUACUUCAGAUUUCUCCUCAAAUUUUGGUUCUUCAGGUUUCUCCUCAACUGCUGGUACAUCAGGUUUCUCUUCAAUGACUGGUUCUUCAUUUUUUAUUUCAACUGCCGAUUCUUCAGGAUUUUCCUCGAUGUCUGGAGAGUGAGCAACAUCAUUAUUGGUAUUGCAUGGAAUUUCACUGCCAGUUUUGGUGUUCGAGUCUACAAUUAGCAUAUCCUGCAAAAAGAAUUUAAUGUUUCACCUAGCCUUUCAAAAAAAGAUCAUGUGAAUCACAGUACAUGCAUAACUAACAAAAUGGAUAAACUUUGUUAUUAUACUUGACCCUUACCUUUUCCGAAAGAGUUACCUUUUCAUGUUUCUCCUCUUCAACGGUUGGUUCGUCAUGUUUCUCUUCAAAUGAUAGUUCCUUAGGUGUUCCUUCAGGUUUCUCCUCAAUUGUUGGUUCUUUGGUUGUCUCUCCAACCAAUGGUUCUUCAAGCUUUUCUCCUCCAACUGUUGGGUUUUCAGGUUUCUCUUCAAUUGUCGGCUGUUUAGGUAUUUUCUCAACCUCUGGUUCUUCUGGUUUCUCCAAAACCCUUGAUUCUUCAGACUUCUCUUCAAUAGCUGAUUCUUCAGAUUUCUCUUCAACUACUGGUUCUUCAGUUUUUUCCUCAACUAAUGCAUAGUUAGCAAUGUCAUUGUUGGUAUUGCAUGGAAUUGCAUUGUCUGUAUUGUCCUCUGCGUUUACAAUCGGCAAUUUCUGCAAGAAAAUUUAAAGUUUCAUUUUGUCUUUAAAUAGAUAAACAUAUAUUAAUUCGUUGCACAUAUAAAGCUUAUAUGGUGGAUUAACUUUGUGACAGUAUUUAAUCCUCACCUUCUCCUGAAGAGCUUUCCUAACAAGUUCCUCCUCUUCAAUAGCUGUUUCUUCAUCUUUCUCUUCAAGAACUAGUUCUUCAGGUGUCUCUUCAAGUGCUAGUUCUUCAGGUGCUUCCUCCUUUGCUAGCUCUUCAGCUGUUUCUUUAGCUGCCGCUUCUUCAGGUCUCUCUUUAGACGCCGGUUCUUGAGGUUUCUCCUCAACCAGUACUUCAGAUUUCUCCUCAAAUGUUGGUUCUUCAGGUUUCUCCUUAACUGCUGGUACAUCAGGUUUCUGUUCAAUGACUGAUUCUUCAGUUUUUUCUUCAACUGCCGACACUUCAGGAUUUUCCUCAAUGUCUGGAAAGUGAGCAACAUCAUUACCGGUAUUGCAUGGAAUUUCACUACCAGUUUUGUCGUUCAAGUCUACAAUUAGCAUAGUCUGCAAAAUGAAGUGAAUGUUUACUUUGCCUUCCAAUAAAGAAGCAGAUGUGAAUCACAGUACAUACAUGACUUAAACUUUGUGAUAGUGCUUGACCCUUACUUUUUCAGGUUUCUCCUCUUCAACGGCUGGUUCUUCAUGUUUCUCUCCAACUGCUGGUUUUUCAGGUUUCUCUUCAACUGUCGGUUGUUCAGUUUUUUUCUCAACCACUAGUUCUUCAAGCUUCUCCGAAACAACUGAUUCUUCAGAUUUAUCUUCAAUUGCUAAUUCUUCAUGUGUUUUUCCAACUACUGGUUCGUUAGGUUUUUCCUCAACUGAUGCAUAGUUAGCAAUAUCAUUAUUGGUGGUAUUGCAUGGAAUUGCAUCGUCUAUCUUGUCCUUUGAGUCUACAAUUGGCAAAUUCUGCAAGAAAAUUGAAGUUUCACUUAGUCUUUUGACAGAUAAACAGAUGUAAAUUCAUUGCACAUAUAAAGCUAAUAUGAUGGAUAGACUUUGUGGUAGUGUUUAAUCUUCACCUUCUCCAGAAGCCCUUCUGUUAAAGGUUUCUCCUCCUCCAUUACUGCUGGUUUUUCAGGUAUGUCUUCAACCAUUGGUUCUUCAGGUUUCUCUUCAAAUGCUAGUUCUUCAUGUGUUUCCUCCCCUGCUAGCUCUUCAUGUGUUUCUUUCGCUGUCGGUUCCUUAGGUUUCUUUUCAGCCGCUGGUUCUUCAGGUUUCUCCUCAACCGUUGGUUCUUCAGGUUUCUCUUUAAUCUCUGAUACAUCACGUUUCUCUUCAAAAACUGGGUUUUCUGGUUUUUCUUCAACUGCUGGUUCUUCGGUUAUUUUCUCAGUUUUUGGAUAGUGAGCAGCAUCGUUGUUGGUAUUGCAUGGAAUUUCACUAUCAGUGUUGUCCUUAGAGUCUACAACUAGCAUUUUCUGCAAGAAGAAUUUAAAGUUUCUCUUAGUCUUUCAAGAGAUAACCAGACAUGAAUUGUUGGACAUACAUAACUAAUAGGAUGGAUAAACUUCUUGAUAAUACUUGACCCUCACCUUUUCCAAAAGAGAUACUUUUUUGGGUUUCUCCUCUUCAACUGCUGGUUUCUCUUCAAAUGCUAGUUCAUUUUGUUCCUGUGUUGGUUCUUCAGGUGUUUCUUCAGUUAUUGGGUUUUCAGGUUUCUCUUCAAAUGCUUGUUCAUUUGGUGUUUCUUCCUGUGUUGGUUCUUCAGGUGCUUCUUCAGUUACUGGUUUUUCAGGUUUAUCUUCAACUGCUGGUUCUUCUAGUGUCUCCUCAAUCGAUGGUUCUUCAAGUUCCUCUCUUGCUACUGGUUUUUCAGAUUUCUCUUCAACUGCUGGUUGUUCAGGUUUUUUCAUAACCACUGACUCUUCAGAUCUCUCUUCAAUUGCUGGUUCUUCAGUUUUUUCCUCAACUGAUUCAUAAUCGGCAAUAGCAUUGUUGGUAAUGCAUUGAAUUGCAUUGUCUGUCUUGUUCUUUGACUUUUCAAUUGGUGAAUUCUGCAAAAAUAAAUAAAUUGAAGUUUCAUUUAGUCUUUCAAUGGAUAAAACAGAUGUAAAUUCGUUACGCAUAUAAAGCUAAUAUGAUGGAUAAACUUUGUGAAAGUGUUUAAUCCUCACAUUCUCCUGAAGAGCUUCCGUUUCAGGUUUCUCCUCUUCAAUUGCUUUCUUUUCAGCUUUCUCUUCAACAUCUAGUUCUUCAAGUGUCUCUUCAACGGUUGGUUCUCUAGGUUUCUCUUCAAGGGCUAGCUCUUCAGGCAUUUCCUCCUCUGCUAGUUCUUCAGGUGUUUCUUUAGCUGUUGGUUCUUCAGGUUUCUCUCCAGCCUCUGGUUUUCGAGUUUUCUCCUCAAAUGAUUCUUCAGAUUUUUCCUCAACCUUUGGUUCUUCACGUUUCUCCCUAACCAUUGGUAAAUCAGGUUUCUCUAGUUUUUCAGGUUUUUCUUCAACUGCUGGUUCCUCAAAUUCUGCAAAGUUAGCAGCAUCAUUGUUGGUAUUGCAUGGAAGUUCAUUCUCACUUUUGUCGUUUGAGUCUACAACUUGUAUUUUCU
rnacentral:lncRNA from 1 species